AACAGGAUUAGAUACCCUGGUAGUCCACGCCGUAAACGAUGAGUGCUAAGUGUUAGAGGGUUUCCGCCCUUUAGUGCUGCAGCUAACGCAUUAAGCACUCCGCCUGGGGAGUACGGUCGCAAGACUGAAACUCAAAGGAAUUGACGGGGGCCCGCACAAGCGGCGGAGCAUGCGGAUUAAUUCGAUGCAACGCGAAGAACCUUACCAAGGCUUGACAUGAACCGGUAAGACCUGGAAACAGGUCCCCCACUUGUGGCCGGUUUACAGGUGGUGCAUGGUUGUCGUCAGCUCGUGUCGUGAGAUGUUGGGUUAAGUCCCGCAACGAGCGCAACCCUCGUUCCAUGUUGCCAGCGCGUUAUGGCGGGGACUCAUGGGAGACUGCCGGGGUCAACUCGGAGGAAGGUGGGGACGACGUCAAAUCAUCAUGCCCCUUAUGUCUUGGGCUUCACGCAUGCUACAAUGGCCGGUACAAAGGGUUGCGAUACUGUGAGGUGGAGCUAAUCCCAAAAAGCCGGUCUCAGUUCGGAUUGGGGUCUGCAACUCGACCCCAUGAAGUCGGAGUCGCUAGUAAUCGCAGAUCAGCAACGCUGCGGUGAAUACGUUCCCGGGCCUUGUACACACCGCCCGUCAAGUCACGAAAGUUGGUAACACCCGAAGCCGGUGGCCUAACCCCUUGUGGGAGGGAGCUGUCGAAGGUGGGACUGGCGAUUGGGACUAAGUCGUAACAAGGUAACC
rnacentral:rRNA from 1 species